rnacentral:rRNA from 1 species
GGAACCGGGAGAGGUAAGAGGUACGUACAGGGGUAGGAGUGAAAUCUUGUAAUCCCUGUGGGACCACCUGUGGCGAAGGCGUCUUACCAGAACGGGUUCGACGGUGAGGGACGAAAGCUGGGGGCACGAACCGGAUUAGAUACCCGGGUAGUCCCAGCCGUAAACGAUGCUCGCUAGGUGUCAGGCAUGGCGCGACCGUGUCUGGUGCCGCAGGGAAGCCGUGAAGCGAGCCACCUGGGAAGUACGGCCGCAAGGCUGAAACUUAAAGGAAUUGGCGGGGGAGCACAACAACGGGUGGAGCCCUGCGGUUUAAUUGGACUCAACGCCGGACAACUCACCGGGGGCGACAGCAAUAUGUAGGCCAAGCUGAAGACUUUGCCUGAAUCGCUGAGUAGAGGUGCAUGG